CACGGGGGGGAGCAAGCGUUGUUCGGAAUCACUGGGCGUAAAGGGCGUGUAGGCGGAUAGGUAAGUGGGAUGUGAAAUCCCUCGGCUCACCCGAGGACCUGCAUCCCAAACUGCCAGUCUUGAGUAUGGGAGAGGAUGAGGGAAUUCCUGGUGUAGCGGUGAAAUGCGUAGAUAUCAGGAGGAACACCGGUGGCGAAGGCGGCUUCCUGGACCGACACUGACGCUGAGGCGCGAAAGCUAGGGGAGCAAACGGG
rnacentral:rRNA from 1 species